rnacentral:misc_RNA from 1 species
GAUGGCUCUACUGCUGAAAAUGAAGAUGUUGCUGAGUCUGACAUAGAGGGUUCAACUUCUAAAUUGGUCUCUCAUCAUGAUGAUGGCUCCAAGCGUUUUAUUGGAGCUGGUGGUCGUGAGGGUCCAAAGCAGGUUCAUGGGUUUUUUGAUUCUAGUGUUGUAGACUUAAAAGGGCAAAAGAGGCCUAAUGGUUCAUCAGAAAAUGAAAUUAAGCAUGGGAACUUGAAUUAUGGGGUUCCAUUCUCUGUUCGAUCUGUAAAUAUCGCGAAUAUGCCAUACUCGUUUCCUGUAAAAGAAUCUAACUCUAUCGGUGUUCCCAGCUCUUCGGGCCAUCCUCUGCCUGGAAUGAUGCAGGCAAUCCCUACUUCAAAUGGUGAGCAGAGAACAGGGGCUCAGUCUGUGAAUCCUGGAAAUUUGCCAGUAAUGUUUGGCUAUUCACCUGUUCAGCUUCCGACAUUGGAUAAGGAUAAUUCAUGGGGUUUGCUCUCUCAUCUUCAGCAGUUCCACCCUUCCUGUGCUGGCAGAGGUCCAUCAAACUCAGAUAAGCAAAAUGAUCGAUUGAAGAUUGCUCCUGCCAUGCAAAUAAUUUCACGAAAUUCAUCUGAAGCUACACUGUGUGAUGGGAGGAGCAAUCUUCAAUCGAUCAUUUUGCUUAUCUGAAGCAAACAGCACAUGACAGAAGAAGACUCCACUUCUCAGAAUGAAGAUGAUGUAAAAGGAGGCAGCAUGAACCUUAGGGCAAAAGAUGCAUCUGGGCCAUCAACAUCAGAAGGCUUAUCCUUUGAUUUUCCUGCCAUAAAGUCAGGUAUUGCAUCAGAUGUGAAAUUUGGGGGGGGUUGUGGUUCCUAUCCCGAUUUACCCUGGGUUUCCACCACAGGUUCUGGUCCAAAUGGCAGAACAAUUUCUGGUGUAACUUACAGAUACGGUGCAAACCAAUUUAGAAUUGUUUGCGCUUGCCAUGGUUCCCACUUGUCCCCUGAGGAAUUUAUCAGGCACGCAAGUGAAGAGAAUAUUAAUCCAGACAAUGGCAGUGGUUUAGCCUCAUUUCCAAGUACCAAUCCUGCUGCCUCUGCUCAGAGCUGAUAGUUAUCGUCUUUUCCAGCAGGAGCAAUAGAUAUCGCCAUAUGUUCAAGCAAAACCAGGUUUUGACCUUAUUUACCAUAAGACGCCUGAUAGUUUUUGCUGUUCUGUUUGCUUAUUUAUUUGCUUUUACCGACUUAGUUGCUGUAAUCAAAUGUUGCAGGAGUAUGUAAUAAUGUUUUAGCAUCCCG